rnacentral:rRNA from 1 species
ACGUAGGUGGCAAGCGUUGUCCGGAAUUAUUGGGCGUAAAGCGCGCGCAGGUGGUUAUAUAAGUCUGAUUUUAAAGUUCGGGGCUCAACCCCGUGAUGGAUUGGAAACUGUAUAACUUGAGUACAGUAGAGGUAAACGGAAUUCCCAGUGUAGCGGUUAAAUGCGUAGAUAUUGGCAGUGACGCCAGUGGCGAAGGCGACCUACUGGGCUGUAACUGACACUGAGGCGCGAAAGCCACUCGAGCAAACGG